CGGUGGGAGGUGAGUGCAAGCCCAACAGACACUUCUAUCGUCCCAGCAAAGGGGGUCCCCCAGGUGAGUCCAGGUCUGAGGCACAAGUGCUAGUGCUUUCUCUUUAAAUUAAACACCAUUUAAUCUCUAGGACAACCAGCCCACAGAGGUGGACCAUACUGUCCUCUCCAUCUCUCUCUUUUUUUUUUUUUUGAGAGGAGUCUCGAUCUGUUGCC
rnacentral:lncRNA from 10 species